AACGCACAUUGCGCCCCUUGGUAUUCCGGGGGGCAUGCCUGUUCGAGCGUCAUUUCAACCCUCAAGCUCAGCUUGGUAUUGGGCCUCCGCCGGUCACCCGGCGGGCCUUAAAGUCAGUGGCGGCGCCGUUGGGUCCUGAACGUAGUAACAUACAUCUCGUUACAGGGUCCCCGCGUGCUUCUGCCAUUAAACCCCCAAUUUUCUAUGGUUGACCUCGGAUCAGGUAGGGAUACCCGCUGAACUUAA
rnacentral:misc_RNA from 2 species